rnacentral:rRNA from 1 species
AUUGAACGCUGGCGGCAUGCCUUACACAUGCAAGUCGAACGGCAGCACGGGAGCUUGCUCCUGGUGGCGAGUGGCGAACGGGUGAGUAAUACAUCGGAACGUACCCAGUAGUGGGGGAUAACGCACCGAAAGGUGCGCUAAUACCGCAUACGACCUAAGGGUGAAAGCGGGGGACCGUAAGGCCUCGCGCUAUUGGAGCGGCCGAUGUCUGAUUAGCUAGUUGGCGGGGUAAAGGCCCACCAAGGCGACGAUCAGUAGCUGGUCUGAGAGGACGAUCAGCCACACUGGGACUGAGACACGGCCCAGACUCCUACGGGAGGCAGCAGUGGGGAAUUUUGGACAAUGGGGGCAACCCUGAUCCAGCAAUGCCGCGUGUGCGAAGAAGGCCUUCGGGUUGUAAAGCACUUUUGUCAGGGAAGAAAUCUUUAGGGCUAAUACCCCAGAAGGAUGACGGUACCUGAAGAAUAAGCACCGGCUAACUACGUGCCAGCCGCCGCAGUAA